rnacentral:rRNA from 1 species
AACGAACGCUGGCGGCGCGCCUAAUACAUGCAAGUCGAACGAGAAUGUGUAGCAAUACACAUGUACAGUGGCGAACGGGUGAGGACUACAUGGGUAACCUACCCUCGAGUGGGGAAUAACUAGCCGAAAGGUUAGCUAAUACCGCGUACGCUUCCGGGACUGCGGUUCCGGAAGGAAAGCGAUACCGUGGGUAUCGCGCUCUUGGAUGGGCUCAUGCCCUAUCAGCUUGUUGGUGAGGUAACGGCUCACCAAGGCUUCGACGGGUAGCUGAUCUGAGAGGAUGAUCAGCCACACUGGCACUGCGACACGGGCCAGACUCCUACGGGAGGCAGCAGUAAGGAAUAUUGCGCAAUGGGCGAAAGCCUGACGCAGCGACGCCGCGUGGGGGAUGAAGGUCUUCGGAUUGUAAACCCCUUUCGGGAGGGAAGAUGGGAUGGGGUAACCCAUUCGGACGGUACCUCCAGAAGCAGCCACGGCUAACUUCGUGCCAGCAGCCGCAGUAACAC